GGGGAUGUAGCUCAGAUGGUAGAGCGCUUGCUUAGCAUGUGAGAAGUAUGGGGAUCGAUACCCCGCUUCUCCA
rfam:Picea glauca, whole genome shotgun sequence.